UUUGUGUUCGCGAGUUUCGAUUUCGUUCGUCCAUUUAGGUCUGGAUGGGUGAUAAAGAGUUCAUUUUCAUGUACUUGAAGCAAAUAAAGUUAAUGCACUGGGGCCUGGGUGCGAAUUUCAUAAAAAUUGGCUGACAUUUGUGGGAUUCACAGAACAUCUGUCGGCAUUAAAUUCCAUCAAGACAAUCAACACGAUCAAGACCGAUCGAAACCUUCUGUUUGUGAUUAUGAAACCAAGGUCACAGCAGUGGCACGUUCCGAAAGUAAUUAAUAGCAUAGCAUGUUUUGUGACGCAAACGGCAGUUACAGUGUAUAUCUUAGGCAGAACCGUGGCGCAAUGAACCAUGGUGUAUUGCUACAUUAUGUCGGUCAUCCUUGCUUAAUAAAUUAUUGUUAUGAGAAGGGAGUGGGGUUUGAGUACGAUCUUUGAAUUUCGAAAUUUAGCCCAUUUGUGGUGUUUCCAUUCUAAUUUCGAAUUCGGAAGGACCUAAGAUCACUCAGUUGGAGUUCUAGUGGUAGUGAACUGUUAUACAUAUGCACGUGAGGAAGAGAGAGAUUUGUCUUGGGUGUGAUAACUACAUUCCACAGUACAGGAUUCUGUGGCCAUGACCGGAACAUAAUUAUCAUUAUGAUAAAAGGAAUGUUCUAAUGCAGUAACAGGAAGUUUGGUAAGGUAGAUAUAAUUGAUUUUCUUAUAAAUCACUGUUCUAUUACUAUAAAUUAUUACUCACUAAUUCUAGUAAGCACCUUAUGUACCACUUCAAGCAAAGAUUACAAAUAAGUGUACAUCAUAUUGUUGCAUAACCAUGUAAACAGUAGAAAAACAUAUUAUUAUUUACAUAAGUGCACCAAUCGCAUUUAAAUGAGCUUUGGCUUCUUUUCAAUAAAUACAAAAUAUGCCUAGUGUAGUAGAACUCUGUAAGACUGAAGAUAAAAAUUCAUGCCAACAUCUAAAGAUUAUGAUUCACUAAUUUCAAAGCAAAGUCGUUUAAGAGUUUUCUAGUCAAGGUAACAGGGAGAAUUGGUUAGAAUUUCAACUUCUCCCUCUUAUUACUAGUGACUGGGUGAAUAUGGGGUUUCUUCAAAAUUUAUUUUGAAAAGGAAGGUCCUGAAGGAACAACAAUUUACAUCAGAAUAUUUCCAAAUCAUCUAUUAAAAUAUCUCUGUUACUUUUAAACUAAAAAAAUAUUACACUUAUUUCUUACCAAGGUGUAACUUCAUGUCACUACUGUGCUUUGGUUUGAAAACUUCUCUUCAAACUAGCAUGUAUCAUACAGUGCAGCAAUAUCACACAAGCAUUUGAUUCAGAUCUCAGGAAAGUGAAUGCACUUACAUCCAAAACUACAGCGAUUGAUUUUAAACCUACAAGACUUGCAGAGUUCUAUUAUGGCAUUUGAGGAGCAUCCUCUAGUACUGAGUAACAAAUUAUUUUUCAAAACAGUGAAAGUAUCACAGUUGAAAAGUCAUUGACACAGCUCCACCAGACAUACACACUACUGUCAAAUAGAGACAGAAAAAGAAAUCAACACAUUUACCAAAAACGGAUAUUUACUGUUGAUAAAAGAACAUACAAUGACCAGUUCCUUACCUACCAUAAGCAGACAAUUUUGCUUCAUCAACUGUUCUCAUUUUCAAAUUUAUUCUGUUGGAGUGAGAGAUAUCUAAAUUCAAAUUUAAUCCAAGUUACUUCCAUGCAAUUUUUUAAUUUUUAAAAGGGAAUAGAAAAUUAGCUACAAAAUUUACAUCUUCAGCCACACAUGUAUAUUACCUAUUCAAGGCAUAAUUAAGAAAUGUGCAACAACAGAAAGUAAAGCAAUCAUAUUUUUAUAUCAAACUGUUUUAAAUCAAUGUAAUCAUACUUACAUAUUCUGUUAAACUACAAUUCAAUGUCAAGGAAAAGUACUGUCCUCAAAGCCAGGUACCUUUCAAGAAAUUUUACAAAAAAUGUUCAUACAAUCUUGAAAAUAUUUCUCGCCAAAGUUCAAUCAGACAUGAAAUAUACGCACAGUUAACAAUUCUAGCUCAUCCAUUGUCCUCUGUUUAAUUAUUUUCAAAUCACUGGAUUUAUGAAUGUAAAUAGAAUUUUUACAUAAAAUGUGGCAUUUUACUUUUACUUGAAAGCCUUUUUGUUCUGAUAAAUAUUUUGUGUUACAUUUGAGAUGCCUACAGAAACACAAGUAGGCCUUCAUGUAACGUGCGAAUUACUUUUGUCCCACUUUAACAAAAAGUGGAAUGUGUCCACAAAUUUGAGUAAACUAUUGAUUUUGGCAAAAAAUCAUGUAGUGGUUCUCAAGUUGUUAUAUAUAGGCGGCCAGGCAUGGUGAAGCUAAGAGGCAUAUUUUUGCAACCUUCCAUUGCAAACAUGUCACUAGCAUAUCAGGCUGGUUAAUCAAGGUUGCUAGAAAUGUUCACACAUCUAUCAUUAAAAAUUGGAUCAGAUGGGUCAGAAAGCAUACACCUGAAAGACCAACGAGAAGAUAACAUUAAGAAGUAUGUUAUAAGAUAAGCUG